rnacentral:rRNA from 1 species
ACGGAGGGCGCAAGCGUUGUUCGGAAUUACUGGGCGUAAAGCGCACGCAGGCGGUCUGUUAAGUCCACUGUGAAACUCCGGGGCUCAACCCCGGACAUGCAGUGGAUACUGGCAGACUAGAGAUCGGUAGAGGCUAAUGGAAUUCCUGGUGUAGCGGUGGAAUGCGUAGAUAUCAGGAAGAACACCGGUGGCGAAGGCGGUUAGCUGGGCCGAAUCUGACGCUCAUGUGCGAAAGCGUGGGGAGCAAACAGG